UACCAACUACUUCCACACCAAUAUUAGAAGACCAGUGAUCCCCGUGAAUCCGGCUAUUUGUUGGGAUGCUUCGGAGACGGGUCACUUACGUCCGCCACCUUCAUGAUUGAACCACCAAGGUCCUCAAGUACUCUACUAUGCAUGGACUUGUUAGAUACUUAUGACCUGACCAAGAGGGCGUUGGCGGUGUCACGCCCACGUGGUGGGACCAGAACCACAAUAAAAAAAAAAAA
rnacentral:lncRNA from 1 species